CAAUGUGCUAGUUAUUAUGCUUUGCCCAUUGCCAACUUGGGUUUUCUAUGCAGAAGGCUUGAAGUGGUUUCUAUUCAGGACAAUGUUGGGACCUAAUUCCUUGUUAAUUUGUGUUGGAUUUAUAUAGAUAUUUGCUAGGGAUUUUGUAUUAGUCUAUUCUUUCUUUGAAUCUGUGAUCCUUUCUUUGUUCCCCUUUUAAAGUCAUUCACUCUUUGUACAGAGAUUGUACAAGUCACCAAACUCGGUCGUGAACAAGGCGAGGACACAAUAUCGCAACAAGCAGCGAAUGUUUUCGCAGGAUAAGAACACUGGGCACUAUGCAGUUGGUUUAGGUGAUGAGUUCUAAAUUCUUCCAAACAUUUGAGGCUUUAAGAAGUAUUUCCUUAUCUUAAUAUUUAUAUUAUUGUUAACCCAUAUGAUGAUAUGAUACCAUAAAAUGGGAACUACUUUGAUUUAUAGUUAGGGACAUUGUUGUGAACACACAUUAGAUCUGUGUAAUUUGUCAAAAUUCUUUCGUUUAUCCUAUUCAGAAACAUUUGUUUCAAACA